AUUAUUAUCCCAAUUACUGACAAUUCCAUGCUCAAUAGGGUAUUUCAAAGUCAAAAUAUCUCAAUUUGUCUACCAGACUCUCUACUGAUCAAGGCAUGCAAGUCCCUGGCCCCUACCCUCGACCUUCCAGUCAAAGCCCAGACCAAUCUGUCCAGCCCCAGCCUGGAGGGGAUAGGUAGGGUCAUGAUCCUCUUAGCCAUCGACUCCUUAAAGGCCUUCCGGACCGCCACCUCACUCCACCUGCCCUCUCCGGAAAUAAACAGGUCACAGACUCUGCAUCCCGCCAACCUCGCCGAAUCCACCAGCAUUGGCAUACGACGGAGCGGAAACUCGGUCACCCAUCUGUCCUCCAGCACAUUAAUGGAUCGCCCAUCGCCGAUGGCCCAUCUGGUCGUAGGGAGCACCAACGGGGCCCGAGCGCCAAUCUCCCUCCAUAUAAAGGAACACCUGUGCCAUGCUCUGACAUCUUCCACUGCCGAUAGGCUACCAUACUUGGCUCUCAGGAGGGAACAUCAUGAAUUGUCAGGCUCCAGAAUGAACCUGGCUGCAUGUCUCGCUGCGAGUACCUCUCGCCUUGCCACCAAGAAAUGCACCCCUAAUCUGCCACAUCUAACUGGCUCACAAAUCACCUCCCAUGAUACUAGGUGGAUGCCCCCUCUACCACCGUUUGCCCCAAAUGAAAUCUCUGAAAAGCUGCUCAAGCGAUCUCAGUGGCAUUAAAGGCAGGAUGGUGUUGGAUAACAAAUACACCAGUAUCGAACUGAGCACCGAACAAUACUAGGUUGACUCUGCCCAUCAUGGAAAGAGCAUCCAUCUAUCGGCCCUCAAGCCUAUGCCUAAUGCUCUGCUCCAUGGAGGAACAAUCUCUGCUGCGAAUACGCUGGCCAGUGAUAGGCACAUCCAAAUAUCUUAGAACACCGUCCUGCUUAUCCAGCCUCAGAAUCUCCUUGAUAUAGGAGAGGUUGAGAAAAUUGGAGGGCUUUUAUUUAGGUUUUAUGAUACAAGAGAGGUUGAGAAAAUUGGGGUACUUUAUUUUGAUUCUCUUCUUUGGAAGCACUAUAGUUUUAAUGCUCCAAUUUUUAUUAUUCAAGACAUUAUUAAACACCUCUACAAUGUUGGUGUAGCGAUGGAUGCAAUUUUUAUUAUUAAACACCUCUAUAACGAAGUCGUUGUGGUUGGACAAUCUGCAGGCAUAGUGAUGGAGGCUGUAGGAUUUAGGAAUCGAACAACUUAUAGUCUUAUUAUACCCAUCAACAUGAGUUGCUUGGUCACAAGUAGGGUGAGGUCUAGGUUUGGGUAAAUCUAGACCUAACCCUAGAUCUAGGUCUUUUUCCAUACCCUGCACAAGGAUCAGGUUGGGUUCGGGUCUGGAGAAAAUAACAUCAUUUCACAUUAGAGUUUUCAAGUCGAGUUCGGCGGCAUUCACACUUUGAGCUGGGAUUCUCGCUCGCAUUUUUUGCUAUGGUGGGCCCUCCUCAAUCACGGUUGUCGUCGCAUACAGGGACGGUUGUGAUUAGUAAAUAGGCCCUCUCUAGUCAAUCAACCAAAUGGAGAGGAUCUGAAUUUUGACACUUUAAUAAAAAUUUAUUCAUAAAACGUCCAAUUAUAUGCUGCAAAAAUUAAAUCCUAAGAAGCACUUGGUAGUUGAUUAUACGACGGACAUUGGCAAAAAAAAUUUAAAUACACUUAAUCCAAAGUUAAGUACAAACACCAUAACAUGUUUAAUGUGAUUUGUUUUAUCAUUUAUACUUUGUUAAGUUAUAGUAUUAAGUUUCAUAUGUUAAGAAUUUAGAAAUAGAAAGAUAUGUAAAUAAAACUAGAAUUAUAUAUAUAAAUUAAUCCAGUAAUUAGCUGGAACCAGAUUAGGUUAGGUCUAAAAAUCUCGAAACUAGAUCUCACCCUAAUUUUCAAUGAAUUCGGCUUCAGAUCCAUACCACCCCAUUUAGGAGUGGUCAAUGUUGCGUUCAUAUCAAGGUUGGGUCAAGGCUGUGUCAGAAAUCAAGUUUGCAUGUUGGAGUAAGUGACCAGUACCCUAGGCACAAACCAGCCAUAUAUUUGAAAUGGGUCCUAGCGUACUGAACUCUUUACUUUCCUAGAAAAAAUCCCUUUCUACUUUUGUCUAGAUUGAUUGGGAUAAAAACUUAUUUUCAGAUCUCUCGUUGGGAUGCUCCUUAUUUUUUUAAUCCUUGAACUAUGCAGAGAACAAGACACGAGCAUGUAUUAGACGAGAAAGUAUGACUAGUGAAGGUUAUUAGGCUUAACAAAACUAAUCAGGCUUCGUCUAAUCUUUCUUAAUAAUAAAGAAGAGCAAGUGCAUUUAAGUAUAUAAAAAGCCAACAUAUAGUAUUCAUUUAUAUAUAUAUAAAGAAUAAAUAGAAAGUAGUUCUAUCCUAUUUAACCAGCCACAUGAAUGCGAAAGUUGUAGCUAUCCAAACACGACCAUAGACGGCAUUUAGGUAUGAAGAGAGCUUGAUGAUGGACUAAGAGUUCGAUCACGGAGGAAUAGAGUCAAAUAUAAUAUUCAAUAUAAUAUUAUAUUUCUAUCGAUUGCUUAAAAAAAUAAAUGCUACGAAAUUUUGAACUGAUAUCAAUAAUGUGGAUAGGGCUUGCCAUAUUCUAGUAAAGCUAUGCAGACUUUGUGCACGUUUGCACAUUGAGUACUGUAAAUGUCGGCCAAAUGGACCGACCUCGCCAUAAUCGGCGGUCCAUUUGGAAACCCAAAUUAGUGACCAUGAUCGCCAGCUGUUGAGGCGGUUAUAACCGCCUAACAGCCAUGAUCACCACCCCUCUUCUCUUUCGGCCGAGGGUUAUUAAAGCCCACGGAUCCCUUGCAAAGGAACUCCAUCACUCUCUCAUUUCUUCUCACUCUCUUUUUUUUUUUUUUGCUACAAGGAACUGAAGAGUGGGGAUCUGAGCCGCCGGAGGGAACAUCACAGAGUUGUCCCGGAGCUAGAAAUCAUGUGCUCAUGUAAUAUUUAUUAAUGGAUGCCAUGAACCACAACCUCUUUCUAGCUGCAUCCAAAUACAGUUGGGAUCAAUGCCGUCCAACUCGAUCAUAAGACAUGAUGGCACGAUUUACAAAGCGCAUGCAGUGUUGCUCCAGGACCGAAGGCCCAGAAACGGGCGUACAGUCGGUGAACCCCGAACCCCCUCGCCUCUUCCCAUUACACCCUCCGUUUGCCCAAAACGGGAAGCGGGUUAAAAAAUAAGGGCAAGAAAAAAUAACCUCCGGCAUUUUUGCAUAAAAUUACAAAUACUCCUCUUCAUUUUGCAUAAAUUUGCAAAUACCUUUCUGCAACUUUGAUUGAUGUAAUGUUCACCUUCUAUUUUCUAGAAUGGUUGCAAUAUUAUCUAACGACCUCCUAAUUGGGAUCAGAGCUUGCUUCCGGUGCCUAUGUU